rnacentral:rRNA from 1 species
UACAGAGGUGGCAAGCGUUGUUCGGAAUUACUGGGCGUAAAGGGCGCGUAGGUGGCCUUUUGAGUCAGACGUGAAAUCCCCCGGCUUAACCGGGGAACUGCGUCUGAUACUGGAUGGCUUGAGUUUGGGAGAGGGAUGCGGAAUUCCAGGUGUAGCGGUGAAAUGCGUAGAUAUCUGGAGGAACACCGGUGGCGAAGGCGGCAUCCUGGACCAACACUGACGCUGAGGAGCGAAAGCUAGGGGAGCAAACGGG